UGACGAAUGAAUCAUCAUCUGUACUUCAAGAAGAACAGGAGUACUGCCUUUUGAGAGCUCAGGGUCAGCAUCGUGUGCUUGGUGUUUCUCCUGUUUACUAACUGCUGCUUUUAAGACUUCCUUAGAAAAGGGAGCUAGAAAGAUGGCAUAGUGGCUAGCAGCCUAGACUUCCCUUGCAGAAAAACCUGAACUCAGGUCCCAGCAGCUAUGUCACAUGACCCACAACUGCCUGUACUCUAGGCCCAGGGAAAUCUGAUGCCUCUAGUGUGCGCGCGCACGUGCGCGCGCGCGCGCACACACACACACACACACACACACACACACACACACACACACACACACACAACCCAACACACAUACAUAUAAUUAAAAAAAAUAAAAUAAAUUACCUCAAGAAAAACUUGCUAAGAGAAUGAAAUUCAAAAUUCUCUAUCACUGAACUGAUUUGCAGUUUCUGAGAAUGCCACAUGGCACAUUUUCUAUUUAUGAAAAUCUUUCAUGUGUGUGUGUAUGUCAGCCCAGAGUCACAGGAUUGUGUUUUAGUCUACCCAGUCCAAAUGACUUCUGCAGUGUAUCUAGCAUCUGAAGAUGUAGACAGCCAUAGAUAAUCACUUUCAAAUGUUCCUCAAAUAUGUAAUGAGCAGCCAUGAGCUAGGCCCAAGGAUAAAUGGUGUUUGCCUUUCUAUGGUCCACAGUAUAGUGAGAAUGUCAAAUUUUCACAUCCACAAGUGGUAGGAAAUACAGCAAGGACUACUUUGGGAGGCGAAGAUGAGGGGGAAAUAAGCACAUGACAAAUCACUUGUUUUAAAUGAGCAAGUCUGCUCUGUAGUGACUUUCCAGGCACGUCUGAAGCUGUCCUCAAUAUGGUAUUGUCUGCUUUGCUCUUCCUGUAGAGUCAGAGUUUCAUCACCGAAUCAGUAGCAUUUAUGAAAUGUACCACAUCCUAUACACCAUGCAGCAUGUCAUAGGGUCUCAAGAAACUUUUCCAAACAGUAAACUCAUGUCCAGAUUCAUCACAAGCCACAUUAUCCUCAUGAAAUGGCAGAAGACACUAGUUUGGUCCAAGGUUCUCCAAACAAAGUUAGUGGAUACAAUGUAGAGAAGAUAUAAGUUAAUUGUGAAACCUCAAAUAAAGGAUUUAUUACAGAGAAUGAAACUCUGUGA
rnacentral:lncRNA from 1 species